CGGAGGAUACGAGCGUUAUCCGGAUUUAUUGGGUUUAAAGGGUGCGUAGGUGGCUGAUUAAGUCAGUGGUGAAAGCUAUGGCUCAACCAUAGUCUUGCCGUUGAUACUGGUUAGCUUGAGUGUAGAUGAUGUAGGCGGAAUGCGUAGUGUAGCGGUGAAAUGCAUAGAUAUUACGCAGAACUCCGAUUGCGAAGGCAGCUUACAAAACUACUACUGACACUGAGGCACGAAAGCGUGGGUAUCAAACAGGAUU
rnacentral:rRNA from 1 species